GUGCUCGCUUCGGCAGCACAUAUACUAAAAUUGGAACGAUACAGAAAAGAUUAGCAUGGCCCCUGUGCAAGGAUGACAUGCAAAUUCGUGAAGCGUUCCACAUUUUU
ensembl:snRNA U6 U6 spliceosomal RNA